rnacentral:rRNA from 1 species
AUGGCUGUCGUCAGCUCGUGUCGUGAGAUGUUGGGUUAAGUCCCGCAACGAGCGCAACCCUUGUCUUUAGUUGCCAUCAUUCAGUUGGGCACUCUAAAGAGACUGCCGGUGUCAAACCGGAGGAAGGUGGGGAUGACGUCAAGUCCUCAUGGCCUUUAUGACCAGGGCUACACACGUACUACAAUGGCCGGUGCAAAGGGCAGCCACUUAGCGAUAAGGAGCCAAUCCCGUAAAGCCGGUCUCAGUCCGGAUUGGAGUCUGCAACUCGACUCCAUGAAGUUGGAAUCGCUAGUAAUCGCAGAUCAGCACGCUGCGGUGAAUACGUUCCCGGGCCUU